UGGGAGAGCUAGAACUAGGAUCCGGACUCCUCACUUCUCGUCUUGGAUCGUGCUUCCUGCCGAUACCCUGAUCUCACACUUCCAGCUUCCAGAAUGUGAGAGAGGAAGCAGGCCGCCAUGACAUGAGGAUCCUCAGGCAGACGUAUGGAGAGGCCCACAUGGCAAGGAACCAAGGACCUGGUCAACAGCCCGCGCCAUCUUGCCACACUAUGAGUGAGUAGCCUCAGAAGCAGAUCCCACAGCCUCAGGCGGGCCUUCAGAUGGCUGCAAACCCAGCUGAUAUUUGGGUAUUGCCCCCUAAAAGGCACGGAGCCAGAACACCCAGGGAAGCCAUUCCCCCAUUCCUGGCUCCCAGAAACUGUGAGAGGACUAAUGCUUAUUAUUAUUUUAAGCUACCAACAACUGAAGUAAUCCAUUAGGCAGCAACAGAUAACUAAGACUGAUGUCUAUUGUACUGGGGCCUUGGGAUAACUGGAAACAGGAAGGGUGGCACCGUGGAAACCUCCUACAUCACUUGGAACUGUCAGGGGCCCCAGAACCAUUCUCUUCAGGGACGUUUCAUGCUGUGGGCUCCUCCACCAUUUGUGGAUAGGUGUCCCAGUCAUUCCUUUAUGGAUGAACACCUUCUGUGUGCUGGACACCGUGUUAGGGGCUGGGGCUGUAGGUGUGAACAGACUUGUUCACGACCAGCCGCCAUGAUGGCCAUCCCUCUGCUGACUAGGCAGCUAUGGGCAAAAAAGACGGCCCUCCUCUGCAGAGGCCCGAGAAGGAGGGGGCCUGGGGACACUAGGGGGAGGAGCCUUCAGCACUGAGAUCCUGCAAGGGCAGGAAGAGUGCGAGAAGUUCCAGGGUCCACAGUGCUCCUAGCUGCUGACUCUUCAUCUGAAAGAUGGGGAUAAGAGCCCAUACCCCCUUGGGUUGUCAGGAAGAUUAGAUAAUACAUGGAAUUCAUGGGAAGAGUAAACAGCCCACGACACUUUUCUUCUCUGAAUAUUAUUAUUGACAUCACUGUCCCUCCACGGCCACCAGACUCUUCUAUCAGGUCAGUAUUUGAGAAGGGACAAAUUAAAAUGAAACAGAUGUAAAGUUGGAGGCUGAUGGAAAUUUGUGGCUGGAAGGCUGUUUUCUGUUUUUGGGAGGGAUUCUGUUCCAACUCUAAGACAGCUCCCUGUGUAAGGUGAUGAGUGUGAUUAAUUGCAAUCAGCUCCUCUCCACAUAAUGAGGAAAGCUGGAUGUCACCCCAUGGCUUCCAUCCAGAGUCAUUGUCCAGAGCCUACUCUGACUGGAAGUGAAGCACCAGAGAGGCAAGAAUUCUGGCCCAGGUGCCUGACUUGCACAAAGGGAAGGCCAUUCACAGGGGCCAGAGCCUGUCUGUGGAGGGGCCACGGAGUGUACGCAGCAGAUGCUCAGGAAGCUCCGUUCCCAUUCCUUUCUCGCUUCCUCGGAGCCUUCUAGAAGGGACCAGCCUAGCCCAUCCCAAGGCACUGCUCUUUCUUUUCCGAUGAUGAUGAUGAUGAUGAUCGGGAGUGCUGUGAUUUCUUUCCCCUCCCUCUUCAUUUUGACAGAAUCACCUCUCGGCAGAGGAGCCGUUUGCCCUGGGGCUCCAAUCCACAGCACCUGGAGGGCCUGCCUCCCAGCUCCUGCGCCUGAGAAGCAAACAAUGCAGUAAAAAGCAGAGCAUUUCCUCCUCCGUGAAAUGGUAGCAGGAGAGAAGGAAGUGGGCCUCCGGCCACUGUGCAUUUGGGUUAGGGUCUAGCCACUGUGUCUUUGGACGGAGGCGGUCAGCAUCUGCACCCCUCCCGUGGUGGACCUGGUGUGGGUAGGACCACCCCCACCCCUACUCAGAGGCAGACAGGAUGGGAGCCAAGGGAAUGCCCAGGACUAGGAAGUGUGGGGUUUUCUGGAGAGCUGUUGGAGGUAGGGACAGGGACUGGGAGAGAGAAACUCAGCCUGGGAUUGGUUUAUUUUUAUUGCUUUUUAAAAUCAUGUAAGUAGUCUACAUUCAUUGAAAAAAAUUAGAAAGCACAGAUAAGCCAAGAGAAGACAACAAAAGUCAUCUGUUAACAUCUUGGCAAAUAUCCCUUUUCUAUGCUUAGAUACAUAGACAAUACUUUUGUUUCAUCAAUAAAAUGUUUUCUUACU